UUUUGUUGACAGAAGAUAGAGAGCACAACUUAACAUACCCAACGACAGAUUUGUGUAUGUGAAGUUUUGUGCUCUUUUUUCUUCUGUCAACUUAUAU
rnacentral:pre_miRNA from 1 species